rnacentral:misc_RNA from 1 species
UGGCUCUGGCAUCGAUGAAGAACGCAGCGAAAUGCGAUAAGUAAUGCGAAUUGCAGAAUUCCAGUGAGUCAUCGAAUCUUUGAACGCACAUUGCGCCCUUUGGUAUUCCGAAGGGCAUGCCUGUUCGAGCGUCAUUAUCACCCCUCGGGCCCUGUGCUCGGCGCUGGACGGCGGUUUGGGCGACCAAACCCCUCCCAAAGACAAUGACGGCGGCCUGUGGUUCCCCCGGCACACUGAGCUUUUAACGAGGCACGUGCUGGAGGGCGCUCAGGACCCCCCGGUCUUCUCCUCUCAGCAGGAAACUUUUCACGGUUGACCUCGGAUCAGGCAGGAAUACGCGCUGA